rnacentral:rRNA from 1 species
UACGGAGGGGGCUAGCGUUGUUCGGAAUUACUGGGCGUAAAGCGCACGUAGGCGGACUGUUAAGUCGGGGGUGAAAUCCUGGGGCUCAACCUCAGAAUUGCCUCCGAUACUGGCAGUCUCGAGUGCGGGAGAGGUGAGUGGAAUUCCCAGUGUAGAGGUGAAAUUCGUAGAUAUUGGGAAGAACACCAGUGGCGAAGGCGGCUCUCUGGGACGGUACUGACGCUGAGACGCGAAAGCGUGGGGAGCGAACAGG